UGUCUGUUACAGCUCAGGGCCAACGUUUGCUUUAUUUUGUGCUGGUCAUUGCUGCUGGAUUUCUGUUGUUCGCCACUACCCUAGCGAUAUGUUGCAUCUGUAGGAAAUCUAGAAAAACAGAUGAGACUGGAGAGGAUACAAGAUCUAAUGUAGUGUUGUGUAAACCAACACAAAAAAUGAAAAAGCCGGAUGCUGUGUAUCAAAAUGUUCCCAAAAAGCGAUGACUGCAUCUGCUGUAUCAACUUUGGGCUUUAUCCACAUUUAUUUUCAAUAUCUCUGUUUUAUCUUUACUAUACUGCAGUGGUUCUGAAACUUUUGUCAUUCAGUACCACCUCAGAAAUAAAUUG